GACGAACGCUGGCGGCGUGCUUAACACAUGCAAGUGGAGCGACGAACCGGGGCUUGCCCCGGGGCAGAGCCGCGAACGGGUGAGUAACACGUGGGUAACCCACCUCGAUGACCGGGACAACCCGAGGAAACUCGGGCUAAUACCGGAUGUGAGGCGUUUUUGUAAGGAAACGUCUGAAAGAUAGCUUCGGCCUUCGCAUCGAGACGGGCCCGCGGCCCAUUAGCUUGUUGGUGGGGUAAUGGCCUACCAAGGCUUCGAUGGGUAGCUGGUCUGAGAGGACGAUCAGCCACACUGGGACUGAGACACGGCCCAGACUCCUACGGGAGGCAGCAGUGGGGAAUCUUGCGCAAUGCGCGAAAGCGUGACGCAGCAACGCCGCGUGGGGGAAGAAGGCCUUCGGGUUGUAAACCCCUUUCAGUUGGGACGAAGCUUCGACGGUUAAUAGCCGGCUGGAGUGACGGUACCUUCACAAGAAGCCCCGGCUAACUACGUGCCAGCCGCC
rnacentral:rRNA from 1 species